AUUGAACGCUGGCGGCAGGCCUAACACAUGCAAGUCGAGCGGAUGAAGGGAGCUUGCUCCUGGAUUCAGCGGCGGACGGGUGAGUAAUGCCUAGGAAUCUGCCUGGUAGUGGGGGAUAACGUCCGGAAACGGGCGCUAAUACCGCAUACGUCCUGAGGGAGAAAGUGGGGGAUCUUCGGACCUCACGCUAUCAGAUGAGCCUAGGUCGGAUUAGCUAGUUGGUGGGGUAAAGGCCUACCAAGGCGACGAUCCGUAACUGGUCUGAGAGGAUGAUCAGUCACACUGGAAAUGAGAGACGGUGCAGACUCCUACGGGAGGCAGCAGUGGGGAAUAUUGGACAAUGGGCGAGAGCGUGAGCCAGCCAUGCCGCGUGUGUGAAGAAGGUCUUCGGAUUGUAAAGCACUUUAAGUUGGGAGGAAGGGCAGUAAGUUAAUACCUUGCUGUUUUGACGUUACCAACAGAAUAAGCACCGGCUAACUUCGUG
rnacentral:rRNA from 1 species